rnacentral:rRNA from 1 species
CCUGGCUCAGAACGAACGCUGGUGGCAUGCCUAAUACAUGCAAGUCGAACGCGAAAGCUCUUCGGAGUGAGUAAAGUGGCGCACGGGUGAGUAACGCGUAGGUGACAUACCUUCUAGUGGGGGACAACAUCGGGAAACCGGUGCUAAUACCGCAUAUUUUGUGUGACAUUAAAAAGCACAACAAAGGGGGCUUCGGCUCUCGCUAGUCGAUUGGCCUGCGUUGCAUUAGCUUGUUGGUGGGGUAAUGGCCUACCAAGGCGACGAUGCAUAACUGGUCUGAGAGGAUGAUCAGUCACACUGGAACUGAGACACGGUCCAGACUCCUACGGGAGGCAGCAGUAGGGAAUAUUGCGCAAUGGGGGAAACCCUGACGCAGCAAUGCCACGUGAGUGAGGAAGGCCUUCGGGUUGUAAAGCUCUGUCCUAUGGGAAGAACGGUAUAUUGGUUAAUACCCAGUGUAUUUGACGGUACCAUAGAAGAAAGCACCGGCUAACUCCGUG